rnacentral:rRNA from 1 species
CUACGGGGGGCUGCAGUGAGGAAUUUUGCGCAAUGGGGGGAACCCUGACGCAGCAACGCCGCGUGAGUGAUGAAGGCUUUCGGGUCGUAAAGCUCUGUCAAGUGGGAAGAACCUAUGCAGUGUUAAUAUCACUGUAUACUGACGGUACCACUGAAGGAAGCACCGGCUAACUCCGUGCCAGCAGCCGCGGUAAUACGGGGGGGUGCAAGCGUUAUUCGGAAUCAUUGGGCGUAAAGGGCACGUAGGCGGCUUGGUAAGUCAGAUGGGAAAGCCCGGGGCUUAACCCCGGAAGUGCAUUUGAUACUGUCAGGCUUGAGUAUGGGAGAGAGAAGUGGAAUUCCUGGUGUAGAGGUGAAAUUCGUAGAUAUCAGGAGGAACACCGGUGGCGAAGGCGACUUCCUGGACCAAUACUGACGCUGAGGUGCGAAGGCGUGGGUAGCAAACAGGAUUAGAUACCCCAGUAGUC